UGAGGAAUGAUGACCUCUGAUUGGUCAGUCAUGAUGACACAGUUUAUGGGUUUGGAGGAUUCCGUUGUCAAGAGCAACAGGGCAGGAUCACCUCUGUAAGGAAAUAAUGUGAUCACAUGGCAAAGAGUCAAGCAAGCCAUGACUAAGGAAGACAAUGAAGCAUGAAACUGUCCUUUCCAGAGAAAUCACAGGCACGGAAUAAGAAGUCCCUGAGGAGGUCUUUCCCUCAUCAAGCUGGGAUAUUCCUUUCAUAUCCAGUGAACUUCAGAGCAACACUGAGUUUUGCUGAAGAAAAUCAAAGGAAAAGAAGAAAUGGGCAUUUGGCUGCUGGGAGACAAGAGACCUACUCAAAGGAGGUUGGUGUAGAAGCCAAAUGCAUGAGAGAAGGAAGAAGAGAAGAGAAGAGCAAGAACACUGUCACGGUUUCUUUGACUAUUUGUCUUGGGGAGCACAAAUCUUUCUUCCCCACUGCCCUUCCAACCUCAAAGAGAGGGUGUGCUCUCUAUGGCUCUUAA
rnacentral:lncRNA from 1 species